rnacentral:lncRNA from 1 species
AAUUUAUUAAAUUUCUACUAUAUAUAAAAAUCUAUUCCCUAUAAAUGGUUAUGAUCAAUUUGUUAAAAAAAUAUCUCAAAUAAGAACAGUUAUAAUCAAUCUAUUAAAAAAUAGCAUUCGUAUCCAUCUAUAAAUUCAAUCCUAUGAACGAUUAUAAUCAAUUGUUAAAAAAUUUAAAUGUUCGAUGUAUAUAAAUAAAAGAACACGGUAGGAUAUUAUAAAUAUUUUCUAAUAAAAUAUAACACAUUAAUUUAUAAAUAUAGUUUUUAUUGUAAAAUUUUGGAUAUAUAUAAUGUACAAAUUUAUAUUGAUUUGAAAUAAAUUAUAACAAUUGUUACGUGUAUUUGCACGUACAUUCAACU